UCUCUGAGUUACUGCCUUGGCCCUGUGCUGGGGACAUCAGUCAUGGAGGGUGGCUGUGUUGGUAUGGAGAAGGAGAACAAAAAACUCAACCUAUAUGGUUGCAUUCCACUUAAAGUGGGCAUUUCCCUGGUGACCCCCAAAAGUAAAUGUUAAUAGAUACCUCUAGAAAGGUCUCUUGCUUUGCCCUCUUCCCUUCCUGUAAGGGAAUAAUGCUGUGCAGAGACUGAGCAGAUUUUAGGAGCCUGGUCUGCUUUCGUCAUCUUCUGACAUUCAAUAUAGAGACGCAUCUUUUGGGGUGUUUUUUUUUUCCCCAGCUCUACAUCUUACUCCAGAAGUAGGUAAUCUUUGAAUCCCUGUGUCUUAGCCUCAACUGGAAAAGUAGUUCACCUUCUUGUAAGCUCUGAUUGUUAGAUAUGAAAGCUCUGUUUCAUAGCGACUGCAGGGAUUGUAACUCUUCAGCUCUGCUCAUGGGUAAAACUGUACAGCCAAAAAAUAGGAGUUAUAAGAUCUUUUGCUGGACUACUUUUGAGUUGAUCUGGGAUGACAGAACCUAUUUCAGGCCAACAGUUAUUGUAAGGUUUCCAUGGAGAUUAAUGAUGUCAGAGGAGCAACAUCUGAGUGCAGUUUGCUAGAAAACAGGGCUGUAAUGUUAUAGUGGCAAAGUGAAGUCUUUGCAUUUUUGUCAACUCGUGGAAUAGUGAAACACAUUUUCUCAGUGGAUUGCAAUUUGCUUUUUAUUUGUGCUGAACAUGAGCCGAAGUAAUGCUUUUGCAGUGUGAUGAUUCUCCUGCAGUUUACCUCAGUGCCCAGAAAAGGAAUUAUUCUUGCCCCCAGGCCACUUUCUGAAUUCCUGAAAUGCAAAGCUUACCCAGCGAGAGAAUGGCCUACUCAUGUACAAACCAACUGACAGCUCCUCCUGAAAACCAGGACAAGUUAAUACAUUCCACAUGUUCCCUGCCCCAGUUUUUCAAAUUGAUUAUUUUGAAAGGCUAAGUAAGCCUAUCUUUAUUUUGCAGGAAAUGUUUGGUGCCAUUAGGCAGCAAUGCUGUUGAAAAGAACAAAGCUGGAACAGCUUUUGAUAAUGUCCUCUGAGAAAUGGCCAACUGCUAUACAAGUGCAAUGACAGAGCCUUUUGUAGGUACUGACCUCCACACUCUACUGGUGGACUGUUCACUAGAGAGAGGCACCGAACCUGCUGGGAACAACUGAUUUUUGGACAGAAAAAGAAGAGGAAGAACCCUCUGC